rnacentral:rRNA from 1 species
UACGUAGGUGGCAAGCGUUGUCCGGAUUUACUGGCGUAAAGAGCGCGCAGGCGGUCGUUCAAGUCGCGUGUGAAAGCCCCCGGCUCAACUGGGGAGGGUCACGCGAUACUGAUCGACUCGAAGGCAGGAGAAGGUAGUGGAAUUCCCGGUGUAGCGGUGAAAUGCGUAGAUAUCGAGAGGAACACCUGCGGCGAAGGCGGGUUGCUGGGCCGACACUGACGCUGAUGCGCGAAAGCCAGGGAGCGAACGGG